GGACCUGUAGUUUAAAUGGUAAAACUCUGGAUUGAAGAUCCGGUAUUGUGAGUUCGAUUCUCUCUGGGUCCA
rnacentral:tRNA from 1 species